rnacentral:rRNA from 1 species
AAUGAUAGGCGGUGUGGUGAGGCAUGAAAGUCGAGCGAGGCGGGGGCUUCGGCCCUCGAGCCGAGCGGCGAAAGGGUGAGCAACGCAUGGGCAAUCUGCCCGAGAGUCCGGGAUAACCGCUGGAAACGGCGACUAAUACCGGAUGGCCCGAGCCGGGGGCAUCCCUGGCGCGGUAAAGGGGGGGACCCUUCGGGGCCUCCCGCUCACGGAGGAGCCCAUGUCCUAUCAGCUAGUUGGUGGGGUAACGGCCCACCAAGGCGAUGACGGGUAGCCGGACUGAGAGGUUGGCCGGCCACACUGGGACUGAGACACUGCCCAGACUCCUACGGGAGGCUGCAGUCGAGAAUCUUCCGCAAUGGGCGAAAGCCUGACGGAGCGACGCCGCGUGGAGGACGAAGGCCUUCGGGUUGUAAACUCCUGUCACGUGACGAGAAAAGCGGGCGGUCAAUACCCGUCCGCUUGACAAAUCAUGAGAGGAAGUCACGGCUAACUCUGUGCCAGCAGCCGCGGUAAUACAGAGGUGGCAAGCGUUGUUCGGAAUCACUGGGCAUAAAGGGCGCGUAGGCGGUUCGGCAAGUCGGGUGUGAAAUCCCUCGGCCCAACCGAGGAACUGCAUCCGAUACUUUCGAGCUAGAGUGCGGGAGGGGAGAGUGGAACUCCUGGUGGAGCGGUGAAAUGCGUAGAUAUCAGGAGGAACGCCGGUGGCGAAAGCGGCUCUCUGGUCCGCAACUGACGCUGAGGCGCGAAAGCUAGGGGAGCGAACGGGAUUAGAUACCCUGGUAGUCCUGGCCCUAACGAUGAGCACUAGGUAGUGAGGGUCCGAUCCCUUCACUGCCGGAGCAAAUGUGUUAAGUGCUCCGCCUGGGGAGUACAGUCGCAAGGCCG